GGAUGAACGCUGACAGAAUGCUUAACACAUGCAAGUCUACUUGAACUUCGGUUUGGGUGGCGGACGGGUGAGUAACGCGUAAAGAACUUGCCUCACAGUUAGGGACAACAUUUGGAAACGAAUGCUAAUACCUGAUAUUAUGAUUUUAGGGCAUCCUAGGAUUAUGAAAGCUAUAUGUGCUGUGAGAGAGCUUUGCGUCCCAUUAGCUAGUUGGAGAGGUAACGGCUCACCAAGGCGAUGAUGGGUAGCCGGCCUGAGAGGGUGAACGGCCACAAGGGGACUGAGACACGGCCCUUACUCCUACGGGAGGCAGCAGUGGGGAAUAUUGGACAAUGGACCAAAAGUCUGAUCCAGCAAUUCUGUGUGCACGAUGACGUUUUUCGGAAUGUAAAGUGCUUUCAGUUGGGAAGAAAAAAAUGACGGUACCAACAGAAGAAGUGACGGCUAAAUACGUG
rnacentral:rRNA from 1 species